GACGAACGCUGGCGGCGUGCCUAAUACAUGCAAGUCGAGCGAAUCAAUAGGAGCUUGCUCCUGUUGUUUAGCGGCGGACGGGUGAGUAACACGUGGGCAACCUGCCUGUAAGACUGGGAUAACAUCGGGAAACCGAUGCUAAUACCGGAUAAUCCUUUCCCUCUCAUGAGGGGAAGCUGAGAGUCGGUGCAAGCUGACACUUACAGAUGGGCCCGCGGCGCAUUAGCUAGUUGGUGAGGUAACGGCUCACCAAGGCGACGAUGCGUAGCCGACCUGAGAGGGUGAUCGGCCACACUGGGACUGAGACACGGCCCAGACUCCUACGGGAGGCAGCAGUAGGGAAUCUUCCACAAUGGACGAAAGUCUGAUGGAGCAACGCCGCGUGAGCGAUGAAGGCCUUCGGGUCGUAAAGCUCUGUUGUUAGGGAAGAACAAGUACCGGAGUAACUGCCGGUACCUUGACGGUACCUAACCAGAAAGCCACGGCUAACUACGUGCCAGCAGCCGCCGUAAGAC
rnacentral:rRNA from 1 species